rnacentral:lncRNA from 1 species
UGGUCAUCUUCAUUGGACUGUGAUGAGCAUCCUCCUCAACCUGCCCCCCAGCCCCCUCCCAAAAAAAGGAAAUCAAAUCAAGAACUAUUCUGGUUUGGAAAAAAAAUUAUUUGGAUACACUAUAAGAAAUUAUCAGAGAUAAAAGGGAAAACCAGGGAAGCGGAUGUGGCUCAACUGAUAGAGCAUCUGCCUACCAUAUAGGAGGUCCAGGGUUCAAACCCAGGGCCUCCUGGCCCAUGUGGUGAGCUGGCCCAUACUCAGUGCUACCGCGUGCAAGGAGUGCCAUCCCAUGCAGGGGUGUACCCCAUGUAGGGGAGCCCCAUGCACAAGGAGGGUGUCCUGCAAGGAGAGCCACCCCAAGGAAAAAAGCACAGCCUUCCCAGGAGUGGCGCCACACACACGGA